UACGGGGGGGGCAAGCGUUGUCCGGAAUCACUGGGCGUAAAGGGCGCGUAGGUGGUCUUGUAAGUCUGUGGUGAAAGCCCGGGGCUCAACCCCGGGUCUGCCAUGGAUACUGCGAGACUUGAGUGCUGUAGAGGCAGGUAGAAUAUCGGGUGUAGCGGUGGAAUGCGUAGAGAUCCGAUAGAAGACCGGUGGCGAAGGCGGCCUGCUGGGCAGUAACUGACACUGAGGCGCGACAGCGUGGGGAGCAAACAGG
rnacentral:rRNA from 1 species